rnacentral:rRNA from 1 species
UGGGGAAUAUUGGACAAUGGGGGAAACCCUGAUCCAGCAAUGCCGCGUGUGUGAAGAAGGCCUGAGGGUUGUAAAGCACUUUAGUAGAUGAGGAAGUGGUGCUAAAGAAUAUGUAGCACCAUUGACGCUAGUCUAAGAAUAAGCACCGGCUAACUCUGUGCCAGCAGCCGCGGUAAUACAGAGGGUGCAAGCGUUAAUCGGACUUACUGGGCGUAAAGGGCGCGUAGGCGGAUAUUUAAGUCAGAUGUGAAAUACCUGGGCUCAACCGAGGGGAUGGCAUAUGAGACUGGAUGUCUAGAGUAUGGUAGAGGGGAGCGGAAUUUCCAGUGUAGCGGUGAAAUGCGUAGAGAUUGGAAAGAACACCAGUGGCGAAGGCGGCUCUCUGGACUAAUACUGACGC